rnacentral:rRNA from 1 species
UACGUGAAACCGUUCAGGGGUAAACCUAAGAAACCCAAAAGAUCGAACGGGGAGAUUCAUCGUCAGCGACGCUGGCUUCGCGUCGGUGGGCGAUGCCACGCGGGGCCUCGCGGCUCGCGCGCGGGCACGCUGCCGUGCGUCGAUGUCCGGCGUUCGUCGUCGUGCACUUCUCCCCUAGUAGAACGUCGCGACCCGCUGGGUGUCGGUCUACGGCCCGGGUGCGGUGACUGACGCGUCGCCGGUAAAACGGCACGCGUCAAACCCUCGGUCGCCCGGCCGGCUGCCCGGCGGUACACGGAAGGUAUCAGGCCGCAGCUCUCACGCGCCCUACUCACUCUCUCACGGGGGGGAGUUGCGGUGGCGUCGAGUGUGCGUCGAGGCCGUCGCAAGCGCGCGCCACGGUACACGGAGGUUCACGGACCUAGCGCCGUCACCGGUCCUGGCCCGCUGUUGGCUCGUACGGUUAACCUUCGACAGGCCCGCAAACGCGUCCCUCGCCGUGCCCCCGGUAAAACGGGGGUUCGCGCGCUGGGACCGCGAUACCGGUCGGCGACGCUACUGCUUUGGGUACUCUUAGGACCCGUCUUGAAACACGGACCAAGGAGUCUAACAUGUACGCGAGUCAUUGGGACUUGACAGUAUACCUAAAGGCGUAAUGAAAGUGAAGGUCGGCCCUGGUUGUCGACCGAGGGAGGAUGGGCCGCGUCGCGCAUGCGGCUCCGCACUCCCGGGGCGUCUCGUUCUCAUCGCGAGAAGAGGCGCACCCAGAGCGUACACGUUGGGACCCGAAAGAUGGUGAACUAUGCCUGGUCAGGACGAAGUCAGGGGAAACCCUGAUGGAGGUCCGUAGCGAUUCUGACGUGCAAAUCGAUCGUCGGAACUGGGUAUAGGGGGCGAAAGACUAAUCGAAC